GGAGGAAGCAGGGGAUCGCAAGACCUUGCGCUUUUGGAGCGGCCGAUGCCUGAUUAGCUUGUUGGUGAGGUAAAAGCUCACCAAGGCUCCGAUCAGUAGCUGGUCUGAGAGGACGACCAGCCACACUGGGACUGAGACACGGCCCAGACUCCUACGGGAGGCAGCAGUGGGGAAUUUUGGACAAUGGGGGCAACCCUGAUCCAGCCAUGCCGCGUGAGUGAAGAAGGCCUUCGGGUUGUAAAGCUCUUUCAGCCGGAACGAAACGGUCACGGUCAAUACCCGUGACUACUGACGGUACCGGAAGAAGAAGCACCGGCUAACUACGUGCCAGCAGCCGCGGUAAUACGUAGGGUGCGAGCGUUAAUCGGAAUUACUGGGCGUAAAGCGUGCGCAGGCGGUUUUGUAAGUCAGAUGUGAAAUCCCCGGGCUUAACCUGGGAACUGCGUUUGAAACUACAAAGCUAG
rnacentral:rRNA from 1 species